rnacentral:lncRNA from 1 species
UGCUUAUGAACUCAAACAAGAAGAAAAUAAUAUGUUUUUUCACCAAAAAAAAAAGAAAGUAUAUCUUUAUUCUACCCAUUCGAAAAGGCUAUGCUUUUGAUUCUCUUAUAAACUAAUGUUAUACUGAGUGUGUUACAUUUGUGUAUCACAGUCAAGAAAUAAGAAGAAGAUUUGCAUAAAAUAACCAUCAAUAGUAAGAUCAAAAAAAUUUGUAUGUUGUCCCCACUCCCAGCUAGUGUUAGCAGAUUGAAGCUUUGGGCAGUGGUUGCAGGUUCGUUUGUUGUGUUUAUCGGAGAAAGCCUUAAACUCGACUGAAUUCCUCAUUGUAAGUACGUUCUCCUCUUUAGGAAAGGGCAUCAACUGCUUUGUUCUCCUUUUCCUACUUAAUAAAUAAUGGUGUAGUCAUAGUCAAGUAGCUUGACCAAUAACCUUUGUUGGCUUGGGAUGGUUUCUCUGUUCCAACAGAAACUUCGAUCUAUGGUGAUUUGGUUUGCUUAAAAAAUGCCUGCCCUGGAGAUAAGUUAUACAUUUUUAUGCAUUUACUAGUGCCAACAACUCCCUUUCACAAUACAGAAGGCACUGUUCUUUGCAGACAACUAAAAAAGCAAUUGGUCUAAUUUCCUAAGCCAACACAGCAUUAGUGCCUCCCUCGAUGCAAGUACAGUCAAAUAAUGACAAUUACCAUUCCAAUGAUGCUAAAAAUGUUAAAAGUCCUCUUCCAUCCUAUAUUCUCGAAUGGGACAAAUGCUUUGGACCCCCUCCCCUUCCCGUUUGAAUGAUAAGAUAGGAAGAUUGAUUACCUGCCCGUGCAGAGCUUUUCACCCAGGACGAAAUAUGCUACAACUGCAAUUAAUAUGGUUGAGAGUGGGUUGAAAACUGAUCCCUUUUGCUCAGUGCACCAGAGUUGUAUGUACACUACUAAAUCAGAGAUCACUAUGCCCUAUUCCAGUUACAAAGAUUCCCAUUAAUUUGUGCAAGUGCUAAGUUGUUUUAGAGAGAAACUAAUGGACCCUUCUUACCCCAUACAGGGUAAACCAUAAAUCAACAUUGAAACUAAUAACAAUUUCCCUUACAAGGGUCAAUGACAUAGCUGUAGAUUUGGUCACCAGACCAAAUAUGAAAGAAAGAUGGGGAUGAAGCUCCUGUAAUCUCUAGUUGAGUUACUACCAUGACAUGGGGUUAUUUGGUAUCUGUAUUUGUAGGAGGUAGCAUUAUAACUUGUUUUGUUGUUGAGUUUUGCUGCUUUUCCCGAGGUGAGGGGUCUAUUUAGGUAUAGCUGCAUCUUUCCCCUUUCUUGAUGUGCAAACGUUGUUACUACAGAGGCUUUGCAAAUUAAAUAUAAGCUAUUGAAUUUUAUUAUAGAGAUUUUCUUGAAAUGUUGUUUCUUGGUAUGAUGUAAAUAGAAAUAUGUUGUCAUGUAAGUGCUAAUGUAGAUUAUUUAUUAUCUUCUUAUAGGUGUUCAAAAUGAAGAAAGAGAUACAAGAAAGUGAUGAAGACAUUGAUCUUACUUAAGAAGAUUUUUGGAUUGUUGAUAAAUGGUCUAAUAUCAAUAUUUUCAAUAUUUAAUUUCUUGAAACUUAUCGCGACUCGAACUUGAUACUAUGUUAAAAUUUAACUAAUCAUUUGGACUUAAU